rnacentral:lncRNA from 1 species
CUGGCGUUGCCGUGAACUGUGGUAUAAAUCGCAUAGGUGGCUUGUGGCUGUGGCUGUGGUGUAGGCUGGCAGCUGUAGCUCCCAUUCUACCCCUAGCCUGGGAAUUCCAUAUGCUGCGAGUGUGGCCCUAAAAAAAAAAAAAAAAAAAAUCCCUUACAUCAUUCAGUUGUAUGCCCAUGUGCAAAUAUGCCAGUUUUCGAUAAGUCCAAGAGAAGCAUUUUUUUUUUUUUUUAACCAGGGUUGGAAUAAAUUGUUGCGACAUUGGCUGACCAGCAGAAGCUGUAGCUGAGUGGCGCUGAAGCCGCAGAAGUUUUUAAAUAUAUAUGUAUUUAUUUUAAAACCCUAGACGUGCACGACGGUAGUGAAAUUCUUACACUAAAACAAACCGAGGAGAGGCAAACAGUACCAGACACUCUACGUAAAUGAUGCUUUUUCUUUUCCUCCCGGUCCCAUUCCCGUCCUCCUUCUCCUCCUCCUCCUCUUCAGCAAAGAAUCCUACGAGUUGCUUAGACUUGUUUUGCGGUCUUGACUGUUUUGCGGCGUCUCCCUGACAGCCGAAGCAGCGAUUUUUCUCAGCAUCUUCUUACCUCACUCUCUUACAUCAAGCUCAGAAAGAAAAGAGUUGACCUUUUCCUAUGACAGAUGGGCAAGCUGAGAUGCAAAGAGACGCAGGACUCAUUAGAGGUGCCUCCGGUGUGCGUGGCCAUGCCAGCUUUGUUUGGACCUCUUAAAACCCACAGCCUCAUCCUGGCAGGCUUUUCCUUGACCACCUGCUCUAAAAGGUGAGGAUGGGACUCUCCUGUUACUGAAAGAGCUUUUCUUAUGGCACUCGUGGGCUAGGGAAAAAAAAAAAAAUCGCUUCUGUCCUUUGCCCGUGUAAGUUCCUAAUUCACUUUGCUGAACUGUCAGCUGUCUGGAAAACAGGAGAACCUUCUGAAACAAACAGUGCAUCUGUAGGGCCCUUAGCUGAUGCUUCUCCACAGAUGCUGUGUGGCUGCUUCUGCAGAGGGCAGAGCCCUGAACAGGAUGGGACCAGCCUGAAAGGCCCCUCUGAGGGAGCAACGUGUGGUUAAUGGAGCCCCAAAGCCAAACAGCACCCCAAAAGGCAGUCGUGGGGUUCUGUGUCAAAGUCCUGGAAAUGACCAGAUGCUCCGGGGCUCUCUGACCAGGAACAGAUAAAAAAGAAAUAUUCAAUGUCCUCCUGCUUGGCCAAAGCACGCCCUUGAUGCUGGGUUUUUGAAAUUCCUUAGCCUUCCAGCCUUCUUCUUCUUCUUUGGGUGUGCCUUUAUUUUUAGUAUUUUCCUCCUAUUUUCUAUUUUUUUUUUAAUAGCAGAUAAGGGAUCCCUGAUCUCAGUUUCACAUUUCCUACAUUUUAAAAACAAC